UCCGUAGGCGGGCGUCUAAGUCAGUGGUGAAAUCUUACAGCUCAACUGUAAAAUUGCCAUUGAUACUGGAUGUCUUGAACUAGUGUGAAGUGGUUAGAAUGUGUAGUGUAGCGGUGAAAUGCAUAGAUAUUACACAGAAUACCAAUUGCGAAGGCAGAUCACUAACACUAUAUUGACGCUGAGGGACGAAAGCGUGGGGAGCGAACAGGAUUAGAUACCCUGGUAGUCC
rnacentral:rRNA from 1 species